CCUACGGGGGGCUGCAGUGGGGAAUAUUGCACAAUGGGGGAAACCCUGAUGCAGCGACGCCGCGUGAGUGAAGAAGUAUUUCGGUACGUAAAGCUCUAUCAGCAGGGAAGAAAAUGACGGUACCUGACUAAGAAGCCCCGGCUAACUACGUGCCAGCAGCCGCGGUAAUACGUAGGGGGCAAGCGUUAUCCGGAUUUACUGGGUGUAAAGGGAGCGUAGACGGCAGCGCAAGUCUGGAGUGAAAUCCCAUGGCUUAACCAUGGAACUGCUUUGGAAACUGUGCAGCUAGAGUGCAGGAGAGGUAAGCGGAAUUCCUAGUGUAGCGGUGAAAUGCGUAGAUAUUAGGAGGAACACCAGUGGCGAAGGCGGCUUACUGGACUGUAACUGACGUUGAGGCUCGAAAGCGUCGGGAGCAAACAGGAUUAGAUACCCCAGUAGUC
rnacentral:rRNA from 1 species